UACGUAGGGGGCAAGCGUUGUCCGGAAUCAUUGGGCGUAAAGAGCGCGUAGGCGGCCCAGUAAGUCCGCUCUGAAAGUCAGGGGCUCAACCCCUGGAUGCGGGUGGAUACUGCUGGGCUAGAGUCCGGAAGAGGUGAGUGGAAUUCCUGGUGUAGCGGUGAAAUGCAUAGAUACCACCCAGAACUCCGAUUGCGAAGGCAGCCUACUGGAGGUUCACCGACGCUCAGGCACGAAAGCGUGGGGAUCAAACAGG
rnacentral:rRNA from 1 species